UAAAAACACUGGUUCACGUACAAUCACCGAAGUUAAGUAUAAUUGAGCCUGGUUAAUACCUAGAUAGGUGACCGCUUGGGAAUACACGGUGCUGUAAG